UCUAAAACAAAACAAAAAAAUUAGUUACUAGACUAUUUUAUUGUAUUGCUAGUUUUAAAAAGUGCUUAUUACCUGUCAUAUAAAAUGACGACAAACUUUUCGAUUACUGUAAACGCCUCGCUAGUACUUCCCUCAUAUGCUGCCAGAAACCCUUCUGUGGCAUUGGGAAAUGCGUUCCAUGCAUCUAUUACACUUUUUUUUCCUUUCCCGUUAAAAUAGGACACAGUAUCACAACCUGUGAAGGCAUGGAACAGGGGGAGGACUUUCGCUUUUUGUGGCCCUGUAAAAGAAAAUAAUAUGUUUUAUAUAGCCCGCCUAGCGUUAUAGUCUCAGUGCAUUCUAUUCUAUUCUAGCUAGUGGCUAGGGCGUAACGUAGAUAAAUACAAUUUAUAAUUAUUUUUUACCUAGAGUUUUUGCUAUUUCGUGACAAGGAAGGUACUGGUGGUGUUUACCAGUACCUACGUGUACCCACAGCUCUUCUAGCUCAGGUACUUGUAGCACACUUGCGACUGCCAGCACCACGACGUCGGUAUCAACAGUGCGUAUCAUUACCCGCGUAUAACCUUGACUUACUGCGUCAGCCAUGUGCACUAUGAUUCUUGUAUCAGCCUCUUCAUGGUUACAUGGAGCUAAUCUUUGCGUGUCGCGAGUGCUUUUUAGAAUAGAAUAGAAUGCACUGAGACUAUAACGCUAGGCGGGCUAUAUAAAACAUAUUAUUUUCUUUUACAGGGCCACAAAAAGCGAAAGUCCUCCCCCUGUUCCAUGCCUUCACAGGUUGUGAUACUGUGUCCUAUUUUAACGGGAAAGGAAAAAAAAGUGCAAUAGAUGCAUGGAACGCAUUUCCCAAUGCCACAGAAGGGUUUCUGGCAGCAUAUGAGGGGAGUACUAGCGAGGCGUUUACAGUAAUCGAAAAGUUUGUCGUCAUUUUAUAUGACAGAGCCAGUUCAUUUACAACCGUAAACGAAGCCCGAAAGCACCUAUUCUCGAAAAAAGACCGCCAAUUGGAGAAUAUACCUCCGACGAAAGCUGCUCUAUACCAGCAUUUCCUGCGGGCAGUGUUCCAAGCAGUCCAUGUAUGGGGUCAGAUGUCACCGAAUCAAAAUCUUCCCUGUCCAUCUAACUGGGGAUGGAGAAAAGUCAGUGAAAGCUGGCAACCUACAUGGACAGACUUGCCCGUAGCUGCAGAUGCAUGCCUGGAAAUGAUCCGGUGCAGAUGCAAAAAGAGGUGCGGCGGCUCGAGGUGCCGGUGCUUUCAGCGGCAACUUAAGUGCACGGAGCUUUGCGAUUGUGGGGGACAAUGUAAAUAAUAAACAUUUUUAAGUAAAAUUCUA